AUUUUCUAUAUAAUACUUCAUCUUUCUCCCAUUCUUUUAUUUUUCAGUUGUUUUUUAUGACAUUUGUUCAGUUUUCUGGUGAAUAUCUGAUAUUUUGGUUUCUGUCAAUUUUGAUAUGCAAUGAUAGACAGUUGCAGACUUUCUGUUUGUCUAUGUAACCACUGCUUGUGGUGACUUGAAGUUGUGACGAUGUGACCUUUGGUUUAUUUACUUAUUGUAUUAUGUACCUGCAUGUCUUUUGUCAUGUAUCUUGUCUAAACAACACCAUUUUUAUUUUCACUAUACUGAAAUAAAUAUAAAGAGUC
rnacentral:misc_RNA from 1 species